CAUGCACAAAAGAUUAAGUUAAUCAGCCGACAUUUUACUAAAGUAGGUCUGUCCUCUCUACAAAAUAAAAUGUACCACUUAAAAUGAAAAGUAUAACGAACAUGUUGACUUUAUAAUUAAGUGUUUCAACACUAAUUUCAAGUCGAAUAGCACUUCUAUCGAAUAUAUAUCCAAUAAGAACUGAUUCUGAAUCAACAUGUUUUAUUGUAACAUCUAAUCAUUGUUAGUAUAAUAAAAUGAUUGUGGUGCCAUUAACUGAAGUGAUCAGAUGGAAACAGUAGUAAAGAAUGCAUUGGGUGCAUUUUCGUAGUGACUUGAUAGCUCAUUUUCACUUUAGACUGUUAAUUAGUGGCCCAAAAAAAAGAAAAAAGAUUGGAACAGUACCAGCAAAUCUGAAGCUUUUAUAUAUACAAGGAUAAUUACAUAGAUAGUCAUA
rnacentral:lncRNA from 1 species